UGCAAGUCGAGCGAUGAAGUUUCUUCGGAAAUGGAUUAGCGGCGAACGGGUGAGGAACACGUGAAGAAUCUGCCAUCCACUUUGGGAUAACACCGGGAAACCGGUGCUAAUACUGAAUAUUGAAACAUAAGUGGCAUCACUGAGUUUUGAAAGAAUUUCGGUGGAGGAUGACUUCGCGGCCUAUCAGCUAGUUGGUGAGGUAAUGGCUCACCAAGGCAACGACGGGUAGCCGGCCUGAGAGGGCGACCGGCCACACUGGGACUGAGACACGGCCCAGACUCCUACGGGAGGCAGCAGUGGGGAAUAUUGGGCAAUGGAGGAAACUCUGACCCAGCGACGCCGCGUGCGGGAUGAAGGCCUUCGGGUUGUAAACCGCUUUCAGUAGGGAAGAAGCGAAAGUGACGGUACCUACAAAAGAAGCACCGGCUAACUAUGUGCCAGCAGCCGCGGUAAUACAUAGGGUGCAAGCGUUGUCCGGAAUUAUUGGGCGUAAAGAGCUCGUAGGUCGUUUGUUACGUCGGAUGUGAAAACCUGAGGCUCAACCUCAGGCCUGCAUUCGAUACGGGCAAACUAGAGUUUGGUAGGGGAGACUGGAAUUCCUGGUGUAGCGGUGGAAUGCGCAGAUAUCAGGAGGAACACCAAUGGCGAAGGCAGGUCUCUGGGCCAAUACUGACACUGAGGAGCGAAAGUCUGGGGAGCGAACAGGAUUAG
rnacentral:rRNA from 1 species